rnacentral:rRNA from 1 species
AGGGAAUCUUCCACAAUGGACGAAAGUCUGAUGGCGCAACGCCGCGUGAGGGAAGAAGGUUUUCGGAUUGUAAACCUCUGUCGCAGAUGACGAAGGAAGUGACGGUAAUCUGUGAGGAAGCCCCGGCUAACUACGUGCCAGCAGCCGCGGUAAUACGUAGGGGGCGAGCGUUGUCCGGAAUUACUGGGCGUAAAGGGAGCGUAGGCGGUCGAUUAAGUUGGAUGUGAAAUACCCGGGCUUAACUUGGGGGGUGCAUCCAAUACUGGUUGACUAGAGUACAGGAGAGGAAAGCGGAAUUCCUAGUGUAGCGGUGAAAUGCAUAGAUAUUAGGAGGAACACCAGUGGCGAAGGCGGUUCUCUGGACAUUUCCUGACGCUGAGAAGCGAAAGCGUGGGGAGCAAACA